rnacentral:sRNA from 1 species
AGCGCUCCAGGCCUGGAAUCCCUACGCGUCCCGUUGGGUUUAGCACGAUGAGCUCAAUCGGCACCGGGGCCUGCGUCUCAGGUGACCGUGACUCCUGAAGCUUUUCAGCGCAGGUGUAGCCGGCUUGGCGUCGCCGCAGUGAGGUUUGGACCGCUUUGGAUUGCUGAGUCACUUUCUUCAGCCACUUAGGGAAACCGAAAGUGGAAACUCGUGGGGCUUGAAAUAGUGUGUUCUCUUGAGAACCACCGAGGCAGUGAGAUUUGGGAUUCCACGGUCUGGAGAUCGUGCUUUUUGUGGACUGCGUUUGCAGUUCCCAGGGUGCUGCUGAUUCACGGGCCUUCUCUGUCUUUAAGUGUGCAGAUCAUUGACCGCUCAGUUUAAGAGUCACUGGAAACCCUGUCGGAACAGAACUAAUAAAAAUGGUCUGAAAAACA